rnacentral:rRNA from 1 species
GUGCCAGCCGCCGCGGUAAUACGGAGGGUCCGAGCGUUAUCCGGAAUCAUUGGGUUUAAAGGGUCCGCAGGCGGUCAAUUAAGUCAGAGGUGAAAUCCCAUAGCUUAACUAUGGAACUGCCUUUGAUACUGGUUGACUUGAGUUAUAUGGAAGUAGAUAGAAUGUGUAGUGUAGCGGUGAAAUGCAUAGAUAUUACACAGAAUACCGAUUGCGAAGGCAGUCUACUACGUAUAUACUGACGCUCAUGGGCGAAAGCGUGGGGAGCGAACAGGAUUAGAUACCCUGGUAGUCCACGCCGUAAACGAUGGACACUAGUUGUUGGGAUUUAUCUCAGUGACUAAGCGAAAGUGAUAAGUGUCCCACCUGGGGAGUACGAUCGCAAGAUUGAAACUCAAAGGAAUUGACGGGGGCCCGCACAAGCGGUGGAGCAUGUGGUUUAAUUCGAUGAUACGCGAGGAACCUUACCAGGGCUUAAAUGUAGUCUGACAGCUUUAGAGAUAGAGUUUUCUUCGGACAGAUUACAAGGUGCUGCAUGGUUGUCGUCAGCUCGUGCCGUGAGGUGUCAGGUUAAGUCCUAUAACGAGCGCAACCCUUGUCGUUAGUUGCCAGCAUGUAAAGAUGGGGACUCUAACGAGACUGCCGGUGCAAACCGAGAGGAAGGUGGGGAUGACGUCAAAUCAUCACGGCCCUUACGUCCUGGGCCACACACGUGCUACAAUGGUAUGG